rnacentral:lncRNA from 1 species
AGCAUGAAGGGCACUGAUAUGGCUUCUCACCUGUGUGGACGCGCAGGUGUUGCUUAAGGUUGUACUUUGCUGAGAAGCUCCGAGAGCAUGAAGGGCACUGAAAUAGCUUCUCCUGUGUGUGGGUGCGCAGGUGUCUCUUGAGGCUCUUCUCAACUGAGUAGCUCCGAGA